CGGCGCACGGGUGAGUAACACGUGGAUCAUCUACCCUAUGGUGGGGGAAUAAACCUUGGGAAACCGAGGCUAAUACCGCAUAAGUUCGAGAGAAGAAAGCCGCAAGGCGCCAUUGGAGGAGUCCGCGGCCGAUUAGCUAGUUGGUGAGGUAAGAGCUCACCAAGGCGACGAUCGGUAGCCGGCCUGAGAGGGCACACGGCCACACUGGCACUGAAACACGGGCCAG
rnacentral:rRNA from 1 species